UCAGAACGAACGCUGGCGGCGUGCUUAACACAUGCAAGUCGAACGCGAACGAGUUCUUCGGAACUUUAGUAGAGUGGCGCACGGGUGAGUAACGCGUAAGUAAUCUACCCUCGCAUCUGGGAUAACCCACCGAAAGGUGUGCUAAUACCGGAUACGUCUAAGUUAAUAUCUUUUUUUUAGAGAAAGGUGGCCUCUGAUUCAAGCUACUGUGCGGGGAGGAGCUUGCGUACCAUUAGCUAGUUGGUAGGGUAACGGCCUACCAAGGCGACGAUGGUUAGCGGGUCUGAGAGGAUGAUCCGCCACACUGGAACUGAAACACGGACCAGACUCCUACGGGAGGCAGCAGUGAGGAAUAUUGCGCAAUGGGGGCAACCCUGACGCAGCGACGCCGCGUGGAUGAUGAAGGCCUUCGGGUUGUAAAAUCCUGUCAGAUGGGAAGAAGUGCUAUAUGGUUAAUAUCUGUAUAGUUUGACGGUACCAUCAAAGGAAGCACCGGCUAACUCCGUGCCAGCAGCCGCGGUAAUACGGAGGGUGCAAGCGUUGUUCGGAAUUACUGGGCGUAAAGCGCGCGUAGGCGGCUAUGUAAGUCAGAUGUGAAAGCCCGCGGCUCAACCGUGGAAGUGCAUUUGAAACUGUAUAGCUUGAGUACUGGAGGGGGUAGUGGAAUUCCCGGUGUAGAGGUGAAAUUCGUAGAUAUCGGGAGGAAUACCGGUGGCGAAGGCGACUACCUGGCCAGAUACUGACGCUGAGGUGCGAAACGUGGGGAGCAAA
rnacentral:rRNA from 1 species